rnacentral:lncRNA from 1 species
UAUUAUUAUUAACUUUUCUGAGGAUUCAAAAAUCUAUAGCUGUAACAUACAGCUAAUGUAAGAUAAGAUUUGCCUGAAGAGUGACGAACUAAAGCUGAGACUGACUGAUUGAACCUGAGCGCUAGAAAUUGAAGCGAGAGUGAGAGAUCGAGUAAGCCUGAAUAAAUGGCACUCUUUCGACUACAUCUUUGCUCUUUGCUGUGAUGGGUGGUGACUGUUCUCGAAUAUCAAGUUGAUUAAUCCAAAAUACUAGAUUCAAGAGAAAACAAUAACACAGCAAAUUAUGGCAGAGAGAACACGAAGGCUGUUAUAAUCAGAAUAAAGAGAAGCAUCACAAUCCAAUAGCUGUGAUUUUUAAAUAAGAUAAAUGAUGAAAUAAUAAUUGGCAUAUCCGGUGCCCAAGAUGGUUAAUCUUACAUAUCAAACAUUGGAUGUGCCUACUUCUUCUAUGUAAUGGCUACCUUUUUUUUUUAAUAAAACAUUAAAUUUGGGCGUAUGACAUACAGGGGCUGUAUUAUAAGGGGACCCUUAUUUUGCAUAUCGUUUUAAAUGCACUUACUAUUACACUUAAUGCAUAGUGGGGACAAGAAAAUGACUGACGUGCAUAUCUCUUACAAAUUUCAAAUUUAUACAUGCCUAAUAAAACAGCCAUAUUCAUGAGCCGAUAUGUAAACGGAAAAAUUAAAUAGAAAGAAGAUAAUAUAAAUUAUGGGGGCGUAGAUUUGUCAAAUUUAGGUCCAAUACAUCAUAUAUAAAA